CAGGAUACUCUCUUGGUGUGUACUGGGUGUUAACCUCCUUUUUUUCUGGUACUUGCUAUCCAGCAAUGGGUAGUUUUGUCCAGAUAGUUUACUUUGAAAAAUUAGAGUGUUCAAAGCAGGCAUAAUUGGCAUCAUGAAUACAUUAGCAUGGGAUAAUAGAAUAUGACAUUGGUCUUAUUUUGUUGGUUCUAAGGCCAAAGUAAUGAUUGAUAGGGAUAGUUGGGGCCGCUCGUAUUGAGUUGUCAGAGGUGAAAUUCUAGGAUUUACUCAAGACGAACUAAUGCGAAAGCAUUCGGCAAGGAUGUUUUCAUUAAUCAAGAACGAAAAGUUAGGGGGAGUCGAAGAUGAUCAGAUACCGUCGUAGUCUCAACCAUAAAACUAAUGUCAACCGAGGAUCCGGUA
rnacentral:rRNA from 1 species